CGUAGGGUGCGAGCGUUAAUCGGAAUUACUGGGCGUAAAGCGUGCGCAGGCGGUUUUGUAAGACAGGCGUGAAAUCCCCCGGGCUCAACCUGGGAACUGCGCUUGUGACUGCAAGGCUAGAGUACGGCAGAGGGGGUGGAAUUCCACGUGUAGCAGUGAAAUGCGUAGAGAUGUGGAGGAACACCAAUGGCGAAGGCAGCCCCCUGGGUCGAUACUGACGCUCAUGCACGAAAGCGUGGGUAGCAAACAGGAUUAGAUACCCUGGUAGUCCACGCCCUAAACGAUGUCAACUAGGUGUUGGGUGGGUAAAACCAUUUAGUACCGGAGCUAACGCGUGAAGUUGACCGCCUGGGGAGUACGGCCGCAAGGUUA
rnacentral:rRNA from 1 species